ACGGAGGGGGUUAGCGUUGUUCGGAAUUACUGGGCGUAAAGCGCGCGUAGGCGGACUAGUCAGUCAGGGGUGAAAUCCCGGGGCUCAACCCCGGAACUGCCUUUGAUACUGCUAGUCUUGAGUUCGAGAGAGGUGAGUGGAAUUCCGAGUGUAGAGGUGAAAUUCGUAGAUAUUCGGAAGAACACCAGUGGCGAAGGCGGCUCACUGGCUCGAUACUGACGCUGAGGUGCGAAAGCGUGGGGAGCAAACAGG
rnacentral:rRNA from 1 species